rnacentral:rRNA from 1 species
GACGAACGCUGGCGGCGUGCUUAACACAUGCAAGUCGAACGGAAAGGCCCUGCUUUUGUGGGGUGCUCGAGUGGCGAACGGGUGAGUAACACGUGAGUAACCUGCCCUUGACUUUGGGAUAACUUCAGGAAACUGGGGCUACUACCGGAUAGGAUCUCCUGCUGCAUGGUGGGGGUUGGAAAGUUUCGGCGGUUGGGGAUGGACGCGCGGCUUAUCAGCUUGUUGGUGGGGUAGUGGCUUACCAAGGCUUUGACGGGUAGCCGGCCUGAGAGGGUGACCGGGCACAUUGGGACUGAGAGACGGCGCAGACUCCUACAGGGGGCAGCAGUGGGGAAUAUUGCACAAUGGGCGGGCGCGUGAUGCAGCAACGCCGCGUGCGGGAUGACGGCCUUCGGGUUGAGAACCGCUUUAGCCUGUGACGAAGCGUGAGUGACGGUAAUGGGUAAAGAAGCACCGGCUAACUACGUG